rnacentral:siRNA from 1 species
AACCCCACAAUAUGGUGCAAGAAA